rnacentral:rRNA from 1 species
GCGAGCGAACGGGGAGCAGCCCAGAGCCUGAAUCAGUAUGUGUGUUAGUGGAAGCGUCUGGAAAGGCGCGCGAUACAGGGUGACAGCCCCGUACACAAAAAUGCACAUGCUGUGAGCUCGAUGAGUAGGGCGGGACACGUGGUAUCCUGUCUGAAUAUGGGGGGACCAUCCUCCAAGGCUAAAUACUCCUGACUGACCGAUAGUGAACCAGUACCGUGAGGGAAAGGCGAAAAGAACCCCGGCGAGGGGAGUGAAAAAGAACCUGAAACCGUGUACGUACAAGCAGUGGGAGCACGCUUAGGCGUGUGACUGCGUACCUUUUGUAUAAUGGGUCAGCGACUUAUAUUCUGUAGCAAGGUUAACCGAAUAGGGGAGCCGAAGGGAAACCGAGUCUUAACUGGGCGUUAAGUUGCAGGGUAUAGACCCGAAACCCGGUGAUCUAGCCAUGGGCAGGUUGAAGGUUGGGUAACACUAACUGGAGGACCGAACCGACUAAUGUUGAAAAAUUAGCGGAUGACUUGUGGCUGGGGGUGAAAGGCCAAUCAAACCGGGAGAUAGCUGGUUCUCCCCGAAAGCUAUUUAGGUAGCGCCUCGUGAAUUCAUCUCCGGGGGUAGAGCACUGUUUCGGCAAGGGGGUCAUCCCGACUUACCAACCCGAUGCAAACUGCGAAUACCGGAGAAUGUUAUCACGGGAGACACACGGCGGGUGCUAACGUCCGUCGUGAAGAGGGAAACAACCCAGACCGCCAGCUAAGGUCCCAAAGUCAUGGUUAAGUGGGAAACGAUGUGGGAAGGCCCAGACAGCCAGGAUGUUGGCUUAGAAGCAGCCAUCAUUUAAAGAAAGCGUAAUAGCUCACUGGUCGAGUCGGCCUGCGCGGAAGAUGUAACGGGGCUAAACCAUGCAC